rnacentral:rRNA from 1 species
GACAGAGGGUGCUAGCGUUGUUCGGAAUUACUGGGCGUAAAGGGCGCGUAGGCGGUCUGUUAAGUUCGGUGUGAAAUCCCCUGGCUCAACUGGGGAACUGCGCUGGAAACUGGCAGACUCGAGUACCGGAGAGGAGAGUGGAAUUCCUGGUGUAGCGGUGAAAUGCGUAGAUAUCUGGAGGAAUACCGGUGGCGAAGGCGGCAUCCUGGACCGACAUUGACGCUGAUGAGCGAAAGCGUGGGGAGCGAACAGG